rnacentral:rRNA from 1 species
ACUCUUACGGGAGGCAGCAGUGGGGAAUAUUGGACAAUGGGCGGAAGCCUGAUCCAGCAAUGCCGCGUGUGUGAAGAAGGCCCUAGGGUUGUAAAGCACUUUUGUUAGGGAGGAACGGAGUUUUGUAGCUAAUACCUACAGAAUCUGAUGUUACCUAAAGAAUAAGCACCGGCUAACUCCGUGCCAGCAGCCGCGGUAAUA